rnacentral:rRNA from 1 species
GACGAACGCUGGCGGCGUGCCUAAUACAUGCAAGUCGAGCGGAAGUUGGAGAGCUUGCUCUUCAACUUUAGCGGCGGACGGGUGAGUAACACGUGGGCAACCUGCCCUGCAGAUCGGGAUAACUCCGGGAAACCGGUGCUAAUACCGAAUAGUUUUCGCCACCUCCUGGUGGCGUACGGAAAGACGGUUUCGGCUGUCACUGCAGGAUGGGCCCGCGGCGCAUUAGCUAGUUGGUGGGGUAACGGCCCACCAAGGCGACGAUGCGUAGCCGACCUGAUGGGUGGAUCGGCCACACUGGGACUGGGACAGGGCCCAGACUCCUACGGGAGGCAGCAGUAGGGAAUCUUCCUCAAUGGACGAAAGUCUGACGGAGCAGCGCCGCGUGAGUGACGAAGGUUUUCGGAUCGUAUAACUCUGUUGUGAGGGAAGAACAAGUACCACUUAACUACUGGUACCUUGACGGUACCUCACCAGAAAGCCACGGCUAACUACGUGCCAGCCGCCGCAGUAAAAC